CCUCAUUAUGUUUUUCCAGUAUUUGAGGUAAACGUUCAAUUUAGUGAUUAACAGGAAAAGCAAAGAUGAAAACAGCAUUAGCAUUGUGUCUCACCGUCUUACUGUUAUCUGUAUGUUCUACGAAUGCACAAUUUCGAUACGGAUACCCAGGUUACGGUUGGAGAGGGGGUUUUGGACCAAGAUGGGGACAAGGUAGAGGACUUGCGUUUCUUGGAGCAGCCUCGCUGUUGAGGUUCGGAAAUCCUGUAGGUAGAGCAGUCGGCGGAUUGGGUCUGUUGGGUUUGAUAGGCUGAGUUUGAAACAAACUAUUCGACUUGUAUAUACAUAUAACACAGCAUGUACACGCAACGUUUGGAAGGAUUGUUGCACUAAAUGUUAAAUAAAACGUAUUCUCCGUGAGAAUAUACAAUCGUUAUACUUAAGACAAUUUUAUUUGGAACUGAAACAGGGAACUUGAAAUUUAUUUGAAUUUGAUUUCUUAGAAAUGUUGUUAACAUCUUGGUUGAAUUAAUUAAAACUGAACUUAACAUUUAGACAGUGAUCAGUUUUGUGGACAUUA